rnacentral:lncRNA from 1 species
CUGGUUUAAAGUUUGCAAUUGCAAUGAUCAUAUACAUAUCUAUUUAUACAUUGUACAAUAUCUUUGUCCUAAUCUUUUAGCAUAUAGAAAAACUUUUCCUCAUUAUCUAAUUUCGUACACUUUUUACCUUAUUACAUAUGGGAGUAAAAACUUGCUCUAGCUGGCUUAUUGUUGUAUAUUUCAAAUUUGAUAACAAAUAUAUAUAUGAUUUUCUACUCAAAUGUUUUACAGUCUGCAAUAAACUUAGUUCGUUCCUGAUAUAUUUUGAUAUCAUCUUGUUUCUUUAAUUAAUAUAUGCAAAGAUUGUAUUGAUUUGCAAAACGCUUUUCUGUUACCAAUGUCAAUCAAAUUGAAAUUAUUCUCUGAACUAAGUUUUGUGUUACAGAUGAAUAAG